GACGAACGCUGGCGGCGUGCCUAAUACAUGCAAGUCGAACGCAGUUGCGAACGGGUGAGUAACGCGUAGGUAACUGCCUCAUAGCGGGGGAUAACUAUUGGAAACGAUAGCUAAUACCGCAUACUGUGAGAUGGACCUGCGUUGUAUUAGCUAGUUGGUGAGGUAAAGGCUCAACAAGGCGACGGUACAUAGCCGACCUGAGAGGGGGGAUGGGCCAAAUGGGACUGGAACACAGGCCAGACUCCUACGGGAAGGAGCAGUUGGGAAUCUUUGGAAAUGGGCGGAAGGCUGGCUGCACAAAGGCGCGUGAGAGAAGAAGGGUUUCGGAUCGGAAAACUAUGUUGUUAGGGAAGCGGUAACUAAAGAGAAAGGACCGGCUAACUACGUGCCAGCAGCCGCGGUAAUAC
rnacentral:rRNA from 1 species